UUUACCUACGGGAGGCAGCAGUAGGGAAUCUUCCACAAUGGGCGCAAGCCUGAUGGAGCAACCCCGCGUGAGUGAAGAAGGGUUUCGGUUCGUAAAGCUCUGUUGUUGGAGAAGAACGUGCGUGAGAGUAACUGUUCACGCAGUGACGGUAUCCAACUAGAAAGUCACGGCUAACUACGUGCCAGCAGCCGCGGUAAUACGUAGGGGGCAAGCGUUAUCCGGAUUUACUGGGUGUAAA
rnacentral:rRNA from 1 species